rnacentral:rRNA from 1 species
UACGUAGGGUGCGAGCGUUAAUCGGAAUUACUGGGCGUAAAGCGUGCGCAGGCGGUUCGUUAUGUCCGAUGUGAAAGCCCCGAGCUUAACUUGGGAAUGGCAUUGGAAACUGGCGGGCUGGAGAGCGGCAGAGGGGGGUGGAAUUCCACGUGUAGCAGUGAAAUGCGUAGAGAUGUGGAGGAACACCGAUGGCGAAGGCAGCCCCCUGGGCCGACACUGACGCUCAGGCACGAAAGCGUGGGGAGCAAACAGG